ensembl:lncRNA
CUGCACUGAGAGGGGCCGUGUCAGACUGAUGAAUAAGAAAGAUGGUGCCUCACCCAGAUAUCCUGGACAUUGAUCUGGAGGUGGUGACCGAAUGGGACUUUGGGUGUUCCCCUUGGGGUGGAGUGAGUGUGUUCUGUGAGAGGAAGUGGAAAUGAAUAUUUGGUGUUCAGAAGGGCAACCCAUGGCAAGAGACUUUCAGCAUUCACCAUUUUUGAGUCUCUCCUUGGGCAGGUAGGAAGAUUACGUCUUCCAGGCGACCCUGCAGUUACAUGGGCCAAUGGAAUGUGAGAAGAAACAAUGACUGUCACUUGUAGAACAAGCAUUUUAAACUUGGUGUGUCUUCUCUAUAUUUUCUCCCAUCUGAACAGCUGGAGUCAAAGGAUGUGAAAAUGGGAGAGCCGAGUAAUGGAAGGAUCCCAGAUUUCAGAGCUGUCACUUGGAGGAGGGGCACCCAGUGAAGAGUGACCAUAUGGAUUUGACCCCUAUCCUUCAGAGGUGCUCAGCCCAAGGGAACACGGGUAGUAGAUUAAGCACUGACCAGCUUAAGACCAGACGGUAUGCUUUCACUUUUAUUCCUCUCUGCAGCAGGCUUACAGUAUUUAGUGAGAGUCUGUAAAGAAUGUGUGCUGGGUAGAGAGUUAAUACCAUAAUCCCCCAUCGUUGGGGUCAAAUGCUGAAUAGAGCAAAAGAAUUAGAAAACAUGUUACAUACAAUGGCAGGAAAAAAUGCAUCAGCACGCUGUUCUGUGAACACCAGCAUUCAUCACCCGCAAGUAAUGGCCAUGAGGUAAUAGAGUGUAUAAAGAGAUGUGUACUUGAAGUGUAAUGUGUGCACUGAUGCAGGGAUGGGAGACUUAAGCAGAAGUCUAAAUACCCAUAUACUCUGGGAAGUAUUUGUCACCAUGUUUAAUUGCUUCUUUUUAAGUACCUGCUUGGAUUUAGUUCCUAAGUAACACAUUUAGCCACUAAAUUGUUUCACAGAGUGGAACCUUGAGCUAUCUCUUUUCACUCUUCAGCAGUGGGUGUGAAUAUAGUUCUCAAAGUGCUGUAAUACAUCUGUCUCUGGAGAAUUCUCUUAAUGAACAAGUAGAAAUUUGAGGCACCUCAGGAAAAAGAGUUGAACAGCUACCUUCUAUUCUGUCUUGGGAAAGUCAACCAAACUCCCCUGGAGUAAGAUUACUAGCGAAUAAAUAACUUUGUAUGGAAUUUCUACAAAGAGGAAUGAGUGUGUGUGUGUGUUGUGUGUGUGUAGAUGAUUUGAUCAUAAAAUGACAAGUUGGAUUUAUUUUAAAUAAGAUCCUUUUGUCUUAGUCCAUUUUACUAUUGCUAUAACAGAAUACCACAGACUGGGUAAUUUAUAAACAGAAGUUUAUUUGGCUCAUGGUUCUAGAGCCUGGGAAGUUUAACAUUGAGGGGCUGCAUCUGGUAAGGGCCUCCUUGCUGUGUUAUCCCAGGGGAGAAGAUGGAAGGGCACGAGACGGUGCAACAGAGAGCAAAUGAGAGCUGAAUUUGCUUUUAUAGAAAACCCACUCUGGAGAUAACAACAUUAAUCUAUUCAAGAGGGUAGAGCCCUCACACCCUCAUCACCUCUUAAAGGUCCCGCCUCUCAAUGCUGUUGCAUUGGGGAUUGUGUUUCAAACACAUGAACUUUGGGGGACACAUUCAAACCAUAGCAUCCUUUGAAGUGGUAACUAUUAAAGAUUUAUAUUUUAAGACUUUUAUUUAUUUUUAAAUUUACAUAUAGUAAAAUUUACUCUUUGAGGUGCAGAGUUUUAUAGUUUUGACAAAUGUAUAGAGUCAUGUAAGCAUCACUGUUAUUAAGAUACAGAACACUUUUAUCAUUCUCAACAGUCCUUUGUGCUAUUGCUUUGUAGUUAAAAUUUCCACCCCUCACCCCUGAAAGUCAUUGAUCUGUUCUUUGCUUCUGCAAGUUUUGUCUUUUCCAGAAUGUCACAUAAAUGAAAUCAUGUGGUAUUUGCCUUUUAGGUCUGUCUUCUUUCACUUAGCAAAUGCAUUUAAGAUUAAUCCAUGUUGUAGUAUCAAUGGUUUGUUCAUUUCUAGUGUAGAGUAGUAUUUUAUCUUUGUAAUUUUCAAUGGCAUUUCAGGACUAAAUGACUGAAAGCUAAUGGCCCUAAGAAUAAAACUAUUAGGAAAAUUAUUAAUUAGGGUUUUAGAGUUUUCUGUGAGGGAUUAUCUUUUGUUUACUUACAUAAGACACCAGGAUACAUGAAAAUACAGAGUGAGGUUGGAUUCUAACCGGGAAGUAUAAGACAUGCUAUGAGUAAUUUAGCAUGUUAGCUUUUUCUCACAGGGCAUAUUGACUAAAUUACUAAAGACAUAUUAUUUCAAGUAAAUAAGUUAUUAUUGCUCAAAACAUAAAUAUUAAUAUGCCCUUAAUUGUAUAUGUGAUCUUUACAUUUCUAUUAGUCCACAGUCAGCCUCCCACUCUUCUCUACCGGCUACUCCUCUUCUACCUGACCCAUAAAUGCUAAUGUUCCUUUUCUCACACUACACCUGUUUUCAUGGAGAAAUCAUUUAUACCCAUAAAUAGAUAGGGAUGGCCAGUCUACAU